rnacentral:rRNA from 1 species
UACGGGGGGGCAAGCGUUGUUCGGAAUUACUGGGCGUAAAGGGCGCGUAGGCGGUCCGCUAAGUUGGAUGUGAAAACUCUGGGCUCAACCCAGAGCCUGCAUUCAAAACUGACGGGCUAGAGUUCUGGAGGGGGUAGCGGAAUUCCUGGUGUAGCGGUGAAAUGCGUAGAUAUCAGGAGGAACACCGGUGGCGAAGGCGGCUACCUGGACAGAAACUGACGCUGAGGCGCGAAAGCUAGGGGAGCAAACAGG